rnacentral:lncRNA from 1 species
CAUGUGGGUCCUACAUGUCAGUAUCUCUCAUUCUUAUUCUUUUCUCUCCCUUCUCGAUUCCUCCACUCCUUUGUUGUGCUGUCUCGUCCUGUCCUCCUUAUUCUUUUCUCUCCCUUCUCGAUUCCUCCACUCCUUUAUUGUGCUAUCUCAUUCCCUUCUCACAUGUGGGACCCGCAUGGCCCUACCAACACAUAGGCGCCACCGUGGCAUGCCACGACAGUGGAUGGAGCAGGUUGGAGCACGUUUGGACCUAUAUAACACCCUAGACAACUUCGGGGAUCUAAAAAUGCAUUUUGAGAGUUCAGGGACCUAGAUAACAUAUAUAUACAAGUUUAAGGA